UGUUUGUGUUAUUGAAAAUUGUUGCGUGUGACUCAAUAGUGAAGAUGCCAUCAUUUUGUGCAGUGAAGUAUUGCGGGAAUACGAUUGCGAACACAAAAACCCGUGGAAUUGUGUUCCAUCGAUUUCCAAAAGAUGGAGAGCGACGCCUGUGGCCAACAUGAUGGUUGGUCACCACAGCAGAACCAGGCCAUUUGUUCGAAUCACUUCACCAGCAGCAGCUACGACGAAGGGUUUCGUUAUCGGCACAAAACUAUAGGAGCCAAAAUGCGACAUCAAUUGCUUCCAAAAGCCACCAUCAGAGGAAUUUCAAGCGAUGGGAAGAGCGAUGGAAUCGGUUUUUGUAAAGUUUCAAGGUAAAUCCGGGUUCAACUUUAAAAAAGGCGUGGUUGAAAAUCUUGUGGCAGCUGUUUUAGCAGAGUAUCCAAAUUUUGAUACAGUGGUGGUGAAAACCUACAUAGAAAUAAGAACAAUUGCCCGGAUGCGGUUUGAGAAUCUAAGAUCAGAAGGAUAACUGUCCAUAAACUCAACUGCUGAUACUGGAACGUUAAAACGAUUACACGAAGAUGAUGGUAGCUCAAAGAACUCGAAACGCUCGAAAAUUAACGAGAAGAAGAAAAAGCCCGUUAAUAAGAGUUAUUUAAUAAGAAAGUACAAAAAGCUAUCCUCCAAGUAGCAUAAGUCGUAGUUGAAGUAAAUUUUAUUAUGAUUUGUUUGUAGAUUAAGAUAUAGUUUCUAAUCCUUAUUAUUUGUUACCACCAUAAAUACGAGAUGAUUAAUUAUUAUAUGCUUUAAGAAUCAACCCGUUGUU